AACGUAGGAGACAACCGUUAUCCGGAGUUACUGGGCGUAAAGGGCGUGUAGGUGGUUUCGUAAGUCUGGCGUGAAAUUUCUCGGCUUAACCGAGGCAGGUCGUCGGAUACUGCGGAACUUGAGGACGGUAGAGGCGUGUGGAAUUCCGGGUGUAGUGGUGAAAUGCGUAGAGAUCCGGAGGAACACCAGUGGCGAAGGCGACACGCUGGGCCGUACCUGACACUGAUGCACGACAGCAUGGGGAGCAAACAGG
rnacentral:rRNA from 1 species